UACGUAGGGUGCAAGCGUUGUCCGGAAUUAUUGGGCGUAAAGAGCUCGUAGGCGGUCUGUCGCGUCUGCUGUGAAAACUCGGGGCUUAACCCCGGGCCUGCAGUGGGUACGGGCAGACUAGAGUGCGGUAGGGGAGACUGGAAUUCCUGGUGUAGCGGUGAAAUGCGCAGAUAUCAGGAGGAACACCGGUGGCGAAGGCGGGGUCUCUGGGGCCGAUAUUGACGCUGAGGAGCGAAAAGCGUGGGGGAGCAAACAGG
rnacentral:rRNA from 1 species